CAGCAGCCGCGGGAAUACGAAGGUCCCGAGCGUUGUUCGGAAUCACUGGGCGUAAAGGGAGCGUAGGCGGCGUGGUAAGUCAGAUGUGAAAUCCCGGGGCUCAACCCCGGAACUGCAUCCGAUACUGCCAUGCUAGAGGAUUGGAGAGGUAGCUGGAAUUCUUGGUGUAGCAGUGAAAUGCGUGGAGAUCAAGAGGAACACUCGUGGCGAAAGCGAGCUACUGGACAAUAACUGACGCUGAGGCUCGAAGGCCAGGGUAGCGAAAGGGAUUAGAUACCCCCGUAGUCCCUGUCUCUUAUAA
rnacentral:rRNA from 1 species